UUUUCAUAUAUAUAUAUUUUUUUUGUUACUAAUAUUGUGUUGAUAUGUUAAAGUAGCAUUUUAAACUACUAUCAGUAUUUUAUAUUCAGUCAUUAGGUAUUUGGACUACGUUAUACGUUUUCAAUAAAAAUAAUCAUUUUGAAAUUGUAUCCAAGAUACGUAACAAUCGGCGGUUAGAUUUCAUAGACAAAUUGGCUCCAGGGAAUUCAAAUCGGUUGAGUGGAUUUCUUUUGUAUUGCAUAAAACAGGUUCGAAUCCAACACAAUACUUGCAGCUUACUUGUUUUUUUUUCUGUUUUUCAACACUAACAAGAGGCCCAGAUUUAAACAAAGACCCAAACAGGGCCAAAGGCAAAUAAACAUAAAUAUAUGCUUAGUCGUAUAUCCUGUGAUUUAUAUAUGGGAGACGUGAUAGCUCAGUGGAUAUGACCGAUUCCUUUUUGCCUUCGAUUCGGAGGGCGUAGGUUCGGUUCGCGGCCGCUAAAGAGUCUCCGAAAAGCCGACAACGCGUUUAAGUCAACGUCGAAGUUCUUGCAUCCAGGUAUUCAGAAGACGCGCUACGCGAUAAUAAUAAUUAAUUGUUAUACAGAAGACUUUACUGCCUUGUUAGCCCAAAGGUUAUCAGUAGAUUCUAAAGUAGAUGGUGGGGACACUUGACUCUAACGAAAAUUAGCUUUUAAAAGCUUAAAAUUUUACAAACGAAUCCUAAAUCGAAAAAUAGAUUAUUUAUUAGCCUGACCCUCCUGGGUCCGCGUAAUCUAUACUAAUAUUAUAAAGCUAAAGAGUUUGUUUGUUUGUUUGAUUGAACGCGCUAAUCUCAGGAACACAGGUCUGAUUUAAAAAUUCUUUCAGUGUUAGAUAGAAAGGAAGGAUAGAAGGCUAUAGGCUAUAUAUUAUCCCCAUAUUCCUACGGGAAAGGAAACCACGCGUUGUCAGCUAGUAAAUAAUAUAGGGCCUUUCUAUAUUUCAAGAAAUUCUCAGUAGCAGGCUAUAUUUGGUGGAGCAACCCCGUGUCUCAAAGAGCACGUUAAACUGUAUGUCCUGAUUAUUAUCAUUAGCAUCUGACUCUGUUACAGAGUACAACAAUUAAUAGUGUUAAAUUGAAUAAUAGAGUAAUCCCUAAGCCCGCGUUGAAACAGCGCGGUGAGUAAAAUCCCCUAUCCUAUGGACUCUUACCUCGUAAUGGGCCCCAUUGACGGUCAAUUAUUCUCACGUUUCUGCAGUGAAAACAGCAGCACUCACGCGGUUUAAGUAGAGCCGUCAUGUACGCGUUGACCAACACACGAUCAAUUAAAGUCGUGGGUGCUACAGAAACGUGAGAAUAACUGACCGUUUGUGGCUAGCAUAAUAAAACGUUAUUCGUCUAAUGAUUGUAACGUCGUGGAUUUUAAUUUUGGGUGGUCAAAUUUGGAAUCUCUAGGUUUGUUUCGAAAGGCAGCGACAUCGAUGAAUGUCGUAGAGAUUACGAGGUUCGCUGCUAGAUGGCGCUUAUAUUAAAGUGCUCAGACAAAUAAAAAUGGACAAGUAGUUGGAGCUUUAUAAUCUGUAUAUAGACUUAAUAUAUGGUUAGAGGUAUUCCACAAGUAACGAAAGGUAUGGAAUCCGAAACCGACUUUAAAAACAAAUGUCACAUAUUAUCUGUGCAAUUUGUUGAUUGUACUCUGUAAGAAAGAUGAAUCGGUAACUUUAUAGCUUUGCUAUUGGUGAGGUUUUUUAUGAAGAAAGUCCCGUUAUCUUCUCGUUAUAUACUCGGGCACGUUCGAGUUUUUUCUUUUGGCUGGCUGAAAUUUGGAGACAUGUAGUUGACUUGCCAAAACAUUAAAUUUACUUAGAGGCAGUGAUGUAAGAUACUUGGUAAGACUCGAAUUUAUAUUUGGUUAGCAUUCGUGAUUAUCGAAUUUUGUUGUGCUAAAGAGACAAAUUCUUGCAGUUCCGGUCAACCAUAAAAAUUUCCCGUGAGAUGUUAAGAUGGCUACCUACUGGGAACUAGGGCGGGAUAUCCUUUUAAGGAUGGGAAUGUAAUAUAUUCUGAACUUAACCUAACCUAUAUACGUGACCUAAUGUAAUCACACUUCUUCUUAAUACAACCACGUUAUUAUGUAGAAACGUAGAUUGGUUGUAGACAUUUGAAACGCCGGUUCUGAAACCUUUGGUCAUUCUUGGAACAUUUUUAUGGAACCUGAGUUGACUAUUACAUUUAAUCAUUUGCACGCGUCGAGUAGCAUGCUGUUAGCGGCGUAAAUCUUGGAGGUUCGCUGGCCGCCAGACAAAAUGACGGACGGAUGAAUGCAACAGCAAGGUCAGCGACCGCGUGGUGUCAGCUUCCAUCAUAAACGUCAGGUCGUACCUAUUCUUUCUUUUGUUAAAUGGAGUCAUGCUAAAACUUCUAUUUUUAUAUAUUGUUUUUUUAAAAGGAUGCGUUACAUUAAUUGUUGGUGGUGAUUCGGAUAUACCGUUCAGAUUACAAUAAGAUUUAGAGAUAACUAGACCUCUUUCGUGAGUGUUUAAAAUGCAACGGUUUGUUGUCCCUUUAGUAUAAACGUGUGUAAUUGCUAAGCGAACUUAAAUGGAAUCAUCCUUGUGGAUUUGGCUGGUAGCGAUGUGAAUUCAUAACUUCUAGUGCGUUGUUCGACGGACCCACUUUAAAUACCUAGCCGUGGCAGUGGUUUGGUCAACAAAAAUCCAAACGCUAUAUCGACACCAUCUAAUCCCCAAGGAUCGGUAUAAUAAAACAAAUAUUUGAGAUAACCACUGUUUAUUUACAAAGUAUGUACAAAGUAACUUAACAUUUAGGAAACCUGGUUUUUUUUUAUGUAAUUUAACCCAUUAAUAUUUUGUCCUUUUAGGGUUUCUCAAGGGUUUAGCAUUACUUUUAUAUUGUAAAAAAAAAGGUUCAUCUAAAAAUAUAGAAGCCAAAUACCGGUGAUUACUGUAAAA